AUGGGGGCUCCCAAGAAGCAGGCAAGGGAUGCAUGCGUGUGCGUGCGUGGGUCUAUGUGCCUGUCAAUGUGCCUGUCUGUGUGCAUCCGGCACUGGAUGAGCCAGUGGCACAAAGACCCUGGUGGAAACAUCUGGGGCUCCUUGGUGUGCAUCUUGAGUGUCCAGCUGUGUGCUCCUCUGAAGGGUGACCCCAGCCUGGAAUGCCCUGAUGAGGAAGAGGAGGGAGUCAGAGACCGGUUGGGACAGGUGGCCGUCCUCUCCCUGUGUGGCGAGGAAGCUGGGGCUCAGAGUGCCUCUGUGGCCCACUUAGGACCUCCAUCAGCACCUAGGACCUCCAUCAGCAAAGGCCGGUGCCGCACCCUCCUUGCCAAGGACAGCUGCAGAAUUUACCAGGUACCCCGCGGACCCUGCUUCCUGGGCCGCACCCUCCUCGCCCAGGAUGGCUGGGUGCAACUGGGGGAGUACACCCAUCCCCAGAAGAACCCCACAUCUCUGGCUGGCUGUCUCUUACCCAACUCCCAUCCCCCGCUCCAGCUGAGGGGCAAGCGUGCUGCUGGGCUGUUCCCAAGGAAAAGCCCAUGGUGCCACCCUCAGGCCCCCGGCAGCUCCUCAACCUGGGCCCCAUCUCUGCCCCCCAUCUUGGCUCCCCAGGCAUAUUUAAACUUUGCCCCUCCCACCCCCGUGCCUGGCGCAUCCCCUGGCACCGAGGCCCAGCCAGUGGCUCCAGCCAACGCACUUGGCUCCCGCAGCAAGUUAAAUCUAACCCAGCCCAGCUGUCUCUCCUCCGGCUCCCACCUGCCCCUCCCAUUCCCUGCAGGGAGGUGCCCGCACCCUGCCCACCCUGCACAGGCCCUCAGGAAGGGUGCAGAGGUUCCCUGGGGUCCCCCACUUUCCCACACUAGGAAAGCCCUUUGCCUAGCAGCCUCUGGGGUGGGUGCCCUGCUUCUGGAGGUGCCCAGCACCCAGGGCGGGGCCAGCAGAGUGCAGCAGGAUUUCAACAGGUAUUUCGAGAAGGAGCAGGAACCCACUUCCCAUCAGUCAGGGCGCAGCCAGGAAGGAGGAAACUCCAGGGCCAACACUGA